rnacentral:tRNA from 1 species
CCCCCUAUAGCUCAGUUGGUAGAGCACCUGCCUUUUAAGCAGUGGGUCCCAGGUUCGAGUCCUGGUGGGGGGA